rnacentral:rRNA from 1 species
GACGAACGCUGGCGGCGUGCUUAACACAUGCAAGUCGAACGGAAAGGCCCUGCUUGCAGGGUACUCGAGUGGCGAACGGGUGAGUAACACGUGGGUGAUCUGCCCUGCACUUCGGGAUAAGCCUGAGAAACUGGGUCUAAUACCGGAUAGGAGCCAUUUUUAGUGUGAUGGUUGGAAAGUUUUUUCGGUGUAGGAUGAGCUCGCGGCCUAUCAGCUUGUUGGUGGGGUAAUGGCCUACCAAGGCGGCGACGGGUAGCCGGCCUGAGAGGGUGGACGGCCACAUUGGGACUGAGAUACGGCCCAGACUCCUACGGGAGGCAGCAGUGGGGAAUAUUGCACAAUGGGCGCAAGCCUGAUGCAGCGACGCCGCGUGGGGGAUGACGGCCUUCGGGUUGUAAACUCCUUUCGCUAGGGACGAAGCUUUUGUGACGGUACCUAGAGAAGAAGCACCGGCUAACUACGUG